rnacentral:rRNA from 1 species
UAGCUGGUCUGAGAGGAUGAUCAGCCACACUGGGACUGAGACACGGCCCAGACUCCUACGGGAGGCAGCAGUGGGGAAUCUUGUGCAAUGGGCGMAAGCCUGACACAGCAACGCCGCGUGCGGGAAGAAGGCCUUCGGGUCGUAAACCGCUUUCAGCAGGAACGAAAAUGACGGUACCUGCNNAAGAANAUGCGGCCAACUACGUGCCAGCAGCCGCGGUGACACGUAGGCNUCAAGCGUUGUCCGGAUUUAUUGGGCGUAAAGAGCUCGUAGGCGGUUCAGCAAGUCGGGUGUGAAAACUAUGGGCUUAACCCA